CGGGUGAGUAACGCGUAGGUAACCUGCCUGGUAGCGGGGGAUAACUAUUGGAAACGAUAGCUAAUACCGCAUAAUAUUGAUUAUUGCAUGAUAAUUGAUUGAAAGAUGCUAUUGCAUCACUACCAGAUGGACCUGCGUUGUAUUAGCUAGUAGGUGAGGUAACGGCUCACCUAGGCGACGAUACAUAGCCGACCUGAGAGGGUGAUCGGCCACACUGGGACUGAGACACGGCCCAGACUCCUACGGGAGGCAGCAGUAGGGAAUCUUCGGCAAUGGACGAAAGUCUGACCGAGCAACGCCGCGUGAGUGAAGAAGGUUUUCGGAUCGUAAAGCUCUGUUGUAAGAGAAGAACGGGUGUGAGAGUGGAAAGUUCACACUGUGACGGUAUCUUACCAGAAAGGGACGGCUAACUACGUGCCAGCAGCCGCGGUAAUACGUAGGUCCCGAGCGUUGUCCGGAUUUAUUGGGCGUAAAGCGAGCGCAGGCGGUUAGAUAAGUCUGAAGUUAAAGGCUGUGGCUUAACCAUAGUACGCUUUGGAAACUGUUUAACUUGAGUGCAGAAGGGGAGAGUGGAAUUCCAUGUGUAGCGGUGAAAUGCGUAGAUAUAUGGAGGAACACCGGUGGCGAAAGCGGCUCUCUGGUCUGUAACUGACGCUGAGGCUCGAAAGCGUGGGGAGCGAACAGGAUUA
rnacentral:rRNA from 1 species